rnacentral:rRNA from 1 species
UACGGAGGGUGCAAGCGUUAUCCGGAAUCACUGGGUUUAAAGGGUGCGUAGGCGGCUUGAUAAGUCAGAGGUGAAAGGUUGUCGCUUAACGAUAGAACUGCCUUUGAUACUGUUAAGCUUGAAAGUAGGUGAGGUUGGCGGAAUGUGACAUGUAGCGGUGAAAUGCAUAGAUAUGUCAUAGAACACCGAUUGCGAAGGCAGCUGGCUGGGCUUACUUUGACGCUGAGGCACGAAAGCGUGGGGAGCGAACAGG